UGGGGAAUAUUGCAUAAUGGGCGAAAGCCUGAUGCAGCAACGCCGCGUGAGUGAUGAAGGCCUUCGGGUUGUAAAGCUCUGUCUUUUGGGACGAUAAUGACGGUACCAAAGGAGGAAGCCACGGCUAACUACGUGCCAGCAGCCGCGGUAAUACGUAGGUGGCAAGCGUUGUCCGGAAUUAUUGGGCGUAAAGAGCGCGUAGGCGGGAUAGUCAGUCUGUUGUAAAAGUGCGGGGCUCAACCCCGUGAUCGCAAUGGAAACAGCUAUUCUUGAGUGCAGGAGAGGAAAGUGGAAUUCCCAGUGUAGCGGUGAAAUGCGUAGAUAUUGGGAGGAACACCAGUGGCGAAGGCGACUUUCUGGACUGUGUCUGACGCUGAGGCGCGAAAGCCAGGGGAGCGAACGGGAUUAGAUACCCCGGUAGUCCUGGCCGUAAACGAUGGGUACUAGGUGUGGGGGUAUCGACCCCUUCCGUGCCGGAGUUAACGCAAUAAGUACCCCGCCUGGGGAGUACGGUCGCAAGACUGAAACUUAAAUGAAUUGACGGGGUCAUAGCUGUUUCCUG
rnacentral:rRNA from 1 species